rnacentral:lncRNA from 1 species
AUGAAAAGCCUCUCGCUCCUGGUGCCACUGUCACGCUGCUCACCCCCAGGCCCUUCCAGGAGAGCCCUUUCCCAGAGGAGGGCUGACUUUGCUGCUCUCCCAGGCUCCAGCAAGCCCGGCAGGGACCUGCCACCACCACCAGCACCCCGAGCACCCCUCGGGGCACCCUGGCCACGGGCCCUUUUAGGGAGGAGGGGGGGAAAAAAGGGUGAGCACAGCGGGGCCACCCCCGGGGCUCCCCCUUCCCUGAGAAGCGGGGGCGGCUCUCCGAGCCCCCCUCCCGCGGCUUUUGCUCCCCCUUUUUCUUCCUCCUCCUCCUCCUCCUCCUCCUCCUGCUGCUGCUGCUGCUGCUGCUGCUCCUCCUGCCGCCGCUGCCCGGCUCCGCUCCGCCUCGCCAGCCCCGAGCGGGUGCCCCGGCCCUGCCGCACCUCCCCGGCCUCCGCAGCCCCGGCCCGGCGGGCGGUGAGUGCUGAGCCCCCCCUGCAGGCCCGGGGGGAGCCGGGGGGAUGCUCGGGGGCCUCGUCGUCGCCGGAGGGAAUCGGGGGGCCGGGUGGGAAACGGGGGCUGAAGGGGCGCCGGGACCUUCACGUCGCCCCCACUUUGUCCCCUCCUGUCCCCUUCCUCCGGGGGGUGCAGGCUCGGGGCUUCGCCCCCCGGGGGUCGGGGUCCGGCUUGGGGAAUGUCCUGGGUUGGGAGGCAUGUUUGGGGUGGUCCUCGUGUGUGUGUGUCCCUUCCUUGGGUGAUGGGGUCCUGCGGAGGGUAUCCCCCUCCCCGCCCCGAGGUGCUGGGGGGAGCCCUAAAGGCACCACCCGGAGUGCGGGGCUGUCCUUGGAGCAGCCCCUCGGGCGUUUUAGGGCUGAGCUGGGUGCACCCCACCCGGCUGGGCUCCGGGAGUCCUCCCAGGGUGCUGGUGGAGCGGCUCCUGACACCCCCCCCAGCCGUUGCCCCCUGCCCCAUUUGCAAAGCAUCAGGGCUUGGGGGGUUCGGGUGUCCCAAGAGCAGGACCUGGGGGCUGCAGCGCUUCCCUCAGCCACCCCUCAGCCACCGACCUCCCGGCUGGCAGAGCUGCCCCCCGUUAGGGCACACCGAGACCUCGGGGCUGGGGUCUGCACACCACAGCCGGGCCACCUCUGGGGCUCCUUGGUGGAGGUACCACCUCGGUGCCCCUGUAAAAGGAGCAUCCCCUGCCCUCCCAAAGCGCUCGGUUUCUUGGGGAAAAAAGCACGGCAUUACAGUGCAUUUAUACUGCAUGAAAAACCACUUUUAUAA